GAAAUGUCCUACCUGCAUUCCCAAGGAGCAGGUGACGAGACUACUGUUCCCGCUCUCGUCAGCACUUCCCGUUGCAUUUUUUAAAAGUUCUCGCCAGUUUGGUAGCUCAAAAUACAGCAUCUCAUACUGGCUUAAUUUUAUAUUCCUUUUAAGUUGAUAGUACGCGUGAACUGUAGUUCAUGGAUAUUGGACACUUACGUUCUCCCUUCCGAAUGGUCCGUGUCUUUCGCCGACUUUUCCUUUGCGGUGUUGGUCUCUUGUAAAGAUGGUGACCCUUCAUUUCCCAUAUAUGCUGCAUUAUUUCCAGCUCUCAAAUAUCAUCAGACGCACACGUUCCCUUAGAGGGAACGUCCUCUCCAUUCUGCUGUGGCCUCCGUCUACACUGCAGCCAGUCCGUCCUCAGCUCAAUAACCUUUGCUUAUUUUAUUCUGUCCUGUAGGAGAGCACUUACUUUGUCAGGCAUUGUAGUUGGCUUUGUUGACGGUCAUCAUCCCAUUCAGCGCUCCAGCAAUACCACAAGGUGGUGGUAUGACCCGCAUUUUAUGGAUCGGGAUACGGAGGCCGGAGGGCAUCUGAUUCCAGGCCCUUGCUUAUUUCACAGAUCCACCAGAGCAUUUAGAUUGAUGCCAAUCACUAACCCAGAGCCUGGAGACCCAAAGACACUGCCUUUCCUAAGAACCUCCCUGAGUCUGUGGGUGCCUAUCCAGACCCUCGCUUAAGGAGCCUUCCUGCUUUCUUCACGGAGAGUUCCAGGGCUUCAGAGGCUUGAAGCUGCGUGUAAAAGUGUGUUUAUACCGUUUUCUUGGGAGAGGAUCCAGAGGUGACAUCAGGCUCUCAAACACAAAAACGGUGAAACCCAAAAAGUGGGGGGGGGGGGCUCCAUUUUGUGUUCUCUCCAGUGGUUCCCCAACUUUUUUUCUUACCUCAGAGGCAUAUAGAAUUCUCAAAAGAAUAUGAGGAUGUAAAAUUCUGCAAAGUAAGCCCAUUAAAAAGAAACUAACCACUAUCA